AUUGAACGCUGGCGGCAGGCCUAACACAUGCAAGUCGAGCGAGUGGCGGACGGGUGAGUAAUGUCUGGGAAACUGCCCGAUGGAGGGGGAUAACUACUGGAAACGGUAGCUAAUACCGCAUACCAUCGGAUGUGCCCAGAUGGGAUUAGCUAGUAGGUGGGGUAACGGCUCACCUAGGCGACGAUCCCUAGCUGGUCUGAGAGGAUGACCAGCCCACCUGGAACUGAGACACGGUCCAGACUCCUACGUGAGGCAGCACUGGGGACUAUUCCACAAUGGGCGCAAGCCUGAUGCAGCCCGGCCGCGUGUAUGAAGAAGGCCUUCCGGUUGUAAAGUACUUUCAGCGAGGAGGCGUUACUCGCAGAAGAAGCACCGGCUAACUCCGUGCCAGCAGCCGCGGUAAUUC
rnacentral:rRNA from 1 species